AGCCAGAGACCCAGAGGAGGGUGUGACCAGACCGUGGGACCCUCCCGACGUCUGCUGCUCAGCUGUGCACAAGUGCAACCUUGCUUAGGGACAUUGAUACUAAUAUAAGUAAUCUAACUAACACCUGCGUGAAUUUAGUAUUGGCAUCAGCCUCUGGCAACAGCUUUGGUGAUGCCAUGAGGAUGUCACAGUAGGCAUAACAUUGGCGCUUGCAUGUGUCACUUAGUCUUUGGAAACCUUGUGUACGUAGGGCAAUCCUAAGAACAGCUCCACGGGUCAGCCAGCCCAGGCCAGGGGAGAGAAGGUGGGUGAGCAGAGGCGUAGGUGUGAGGGAAAGAGAGAGGACAUGUAUGGGAAGGGCUGUGUCUCAGGCCUGGAGGCAGGAGUGGCUGUGAUAUAACACAUCGUGUUGUCAUAACACAUUGUUGUUUUGUGAUGCCCUGUGCAUGCCAAUGCAGGCAUCACAUUGGCACUUGCCUGUUGACAUUGGCAUUGGCAACAGGGCCGGCACUGGGAGGUCCUAUAUAAAAGCUGCGCCCCUCUGCUAGGCCAUUGCAGAAGAGAACAGGAAUGUGAGCAGGUGAGAGGGCAGGAGAAAGGACAUGGAAUGGAAGUGCAGCGCCUGAGCAGGUAGGCAGGAAUGGCUUUGCAGCAACAGUCUGUGUGACCUCUUCCUUUGACUUGAGAGCCAGCAUCCCAGAGGAGGACAUGACCGGAGCAUGGACGCCUCCUGUCCUUUGCCGCUCACCUGGAGAGAUGUUCCACCUUCCACUGCGAUAUUGAUACUAAGAUGUGCUUUUGUGUCCUGGUCGAUGUAUGCUGGUAAUAAGAACAGCUCCAACUUUCUGCCUACCCAGGCCAUAGCCAGAAUCUCCAUGUCUUUCUCCACAGGUCUGCUCUCAUGGAGAUCUUCCCCCGUUUUCUAUAGAAACUUGGUAUUGCCCCGACCCAUGUGCAGCACGUUGCACUUGUCCUUAUUGAAUCUCACUGUUUUUUUCUGGGCCCACUUCUCCAGCCUUUCCAGGUCUCUCAUGAUGGCUUUCUUCCUUCCUGUGUAUCAACUGCACUGCUCAGCUUGGUGUCAUGUACAAACUUGCUGAGGGCACUCUCGAUGCCAUUGUCUAUGUCAUUGAUGAAGAUUUGAAGAGCCCCGGUCCCAAGACUGACCUUUGAAAGACACCACUUUUGACCGGCCUCCACCCUGACUGAGAACCAUUGAUUACAACCCUUUGGCUGUGACCAGUCAACCAAUUCCUUAUCCUCCUAGCUGUCCGUUCUUCAAAUCUGCAUCUCUCCAAUUUACGGAGAAGGAUGUGGUGAGGGACCUUUUCAAAUUAUCACUUGCUCUCUCUCACUGUAUGUAUUUUUUAUCCAGAUCUUGCAUAAUAUUUUUGGUUCUUUUCCAUCAUCUCCAAUUUUAUACCUACUCACAAAUGUGGAAUCUGAGUUUCACAUUGCAUAAGCUGUUCACAGUGCCAAAUUCAAUUCUUCACUGCAGUUAUUCAGACUAUCUUUCCCCAUACUUUCAUCUGGAAGUUCAUGCUCACUGUUACUAUUUAAAACUACUUUUCUCUUUAAUUUAUUAUCAUGAAGCAGUCUGCCAUUGUAACAAUGAACACUGCAAAAUAAUCCAUUAAAAUAUGUUUUCGAUAUUGUGUUAGAUGAUGUUCAUGAUUGGUGUAUGGAUCUGACUAGUCAUUUAGACUGGAGUUCAUUAAGUUUUUAGACAACAGUACAAAUGUUUUGCUUUUGGGGUUGUCCUGUGUAGAGCCAAGAACUGGUCUUCUAGGACCAACUUUUAGGUCCUGUCCAACUCAGGAUAUUCUAUGAUUCUGGGAUUCUAAGAUUUACUUUGUGAAACAGACUCAUCCACUGACAGUAAGUCUGAUUAAUUCAUGUGCUGGAAGAUUACCUGAACUGUCUUCUAGAAUUGUUCAUAGAUCAUGAAGAAGUCAUACUUAUCUAUCUCAGACAACUUGAAACUUGUAAAGAUUAAUCCAACUCAAUGAGGGACAUUUCAAAGUUAAGUGCUUACCUCAGUCAACAGAAGAAUGGUGUAUGAACAGGUUCUUUCUGUUUUUCUUGUUUUGGAAAAAGUUU
rnacentral:lncRNA from 1 species